rnacentral:rRNA from 1 species
AUGGAGAAGUUAAUCGGGCUCGAUAUAUGCCCCAAAAAUAAAACUCUCGACGCAUACCAGAUUUUUAAGUUUCAUGAUGGCGUCGUUGAAGAUGUUGCUUGGCAUUUGAGGCAUGAAUACUUAUUCGGCUCAGUUGGUGAUGAUCAUCAUCUCCUAAUUUGUGAUAUGCGUACUCCUGCACCGACCAAGCCUGUACAGUCUGUGGUGGCAAACCAGGGUGAGGUGAAUUGCCUGGCUUUCAAUCCUUUCAAUGAAUGGGUUGUUGCAACUGGUUCAACCAACAAGACUGUCAAAUUAUUUGAUCUUCGGAAGAUUGAUACUUCGCUGCACACUUUUGACUGUCACAAAGAGGAAGUAUUUCAAGUUGGAUGGAGCCCAAAGAAUGAAACUAUACUUGCAUCUUGUUGUCUGGGAAGGAGGCUGAUGGUUUGGGAUCUAAGCAGAAUUGAUCAGGAGCAAACACCAGAGGACGCGGAGGAUGGCCCUCCUGAGCUCUUGUUCAUUCAUGGAGGCCACACAAGCAAAAUCUCUGACUUCUCCUGGAACCCGUGUGAGGACUGGGUGCUUGCAAGCGUUGCUGAAGACAACAUCCUUCAGAUAUGGCAGAUGGCAGAGAACAUCUACCAUGAUGAGGAUGAUCUUCCCAGCGAUGAGCCGGCAAAGGCUUCAUGA